rnacentral:snRNA from 1 species
UUUUCAAAACAAGAAUAU